rnacentral:tRNA from 1 species
GGUCGUGUAGCUCAGACGAUGGUAGAGCAAGGUGAGCCACACCCAUUGCCGCUGGUUCGAGUCCAGCCACGACAAGACCGA